GGAGNGGUGGCCGAGUGGUUGAAGGCGACGGUCUUGAAAACCGNUGUGNCGCAAGGNACCGGGGGUUCGAAUCCCCCCUGCUCCG
rnacentral:tRNA from 1 species